rnacentral:misc_RNA from 1 species
UAUCAACCAUCAAGCCUGGCUUGUCGUUGGACCUCUGGUCGUCGAGACCGGUCCGAAAGAUAAUGGACGGGCGUCUGGUGGCCCCCGAUGCAACGAGCUCUUUUAAAACAGCACGCAUCGGUGUGGUCGGCAGCCCCGCCCCAAACCCCCCUUUUUCUCAGGUUGACCUCGGAUCAGGUAGGAAUACCCGCUGAACUUAA